UACGUAGGGGGCUAGCGUUGUCCGGAAUCAUUGGGCGUAAAGCGCGUGUAGGCGGCCAAACAGGUCCACUGUGAAAACUCGAGGCUCAACCUCGAGAGGUCGGUGGAAACCGUCUGGCUAGAGUCCGGAAGAGGAGAGUGGAAUUCCCGGUGUAGCGGUGAAAUGCGCAGAUAUCGGGAAGAACACCCGUGGCGAAGGCGGCUCUCUGGGACGGUACUGACGCUGAGGCGCGAAAGCUAGGGGAGCAAACGGG
rnacentral:rRNA from 1 species